rnacentral:rRNA from 1 species
CAGGGUGACAGGUGGUGCAUGGUUGUCGUCAGCUCGUGUCGUGAGACGUUGGGUUAAGUCCCGCAACGAGCGCAACCCUCGACCUUAGUGCCAGCAUUCAGUUGGGCACUCUAAGGUGACUGCCGGCUAAAAGUCGGAGGAAGGUGGGGAUGACGUCAAAUCAUCAUGCCCCUUAUGACCUGGGCUACACACGUGCUACAAUGGGCGGUACAAAGGGUCGCGAACCCGCGAGGGGGGAGCCAAUCCCAAAAAGCCGCUCUCAGUUCGGAUUGCAGGCUGCAACUCGCCUGCAUGAAGCCGGAAUCGCUAGUAAUCGCGGAUCAGCAUGCCGCGGUGAAUACGUUCCCGGGCCUU